rnacentral:lncRNA from 1 species
UGGGAAGCCGAGGAGUAAAUGGCUCUAACUCCGUUUAAAUGCAAAUUCUACUGGUAAUUAAGAGGCGAACCACAGUAAGAACACUACAGGAGAUAUAUAGUCACUGGAAAGCACCUACUCUCCUAAUGAAGACUACAAGUGAAGGGGACCAAGGGGACCAUGUCUGCAGACAGUGCUGCUCCAUGAAGGCGCACAAGCUGGAGAGCAACCUGGUAAAAUGAGGAGGAACCCAGAAAAAGCAACACCUGAGUCCCAGGUCUGCCAUGCAGACAUCUGUGGCAGGAGAAGAGGCUGGACAUGGUUCCAAAAAGCUUCACAACAUGUCAAGCAGAUGCUCAGCAUUCUUCCUGAGCACCUCAGUGUCAUGCCAGGUUCUUGGCCAUUCCUGCUGGGAUGAUAAAGAGUUUUAUAGACCUUCAAAAACACAGA